GGACAAUGUCAAGAAGGAAGGCUUAACCCC
rnacentral:piRNA from 1 species